GGCAGCAGUGGGGAGUAUUGGACAAUGGGCGAAAGCCUGAUCCAGCCAUGCCGCGUGUGUGAAGAAGGUCUUCGGAUUGUAAAGCACUUUAAGUUGGGAGGAAGGGCAGUAAGCUAAUACCUUGCUGUUUUGACGUUACCGACAGAAUAAGCACCGGCUAACUCUGUGCCAGCAGCCGCG
rnacentral:rRNA from 1 species